GAUGAACGCUAGCGGCAGGCUUAAUACAUGCAAGUCGAGGGGCAGCAUAAAUGUAGCAAUACACUUGAUGGCGACCGGCAAACGGGUGCGGAACACGUACACAACCUUCCUAUAAGUGGGGAAUAGCCCAGAGAAAUUUGGAUUAAUACCCCGUAACAUAAUGAUGUGGCAUCACAUUAUUAUUAUAGCUACGGCGCUUAUUGAUGGGUGUGCGGCUGAUUAGAUAGUUGGCGGGGUAACGGCCCACCAAGUCUACGAUCAGUAGCUGAUGUGAGAGCAUGAUCAGCCACACGGGCACUGAGACACGGGCCCGACUCCUACGGGAGGCAGCAGUAAGGAAUAUUGGUCAAUGGACGCAAGUCUGAACCAGCCAUGCCGCGUGAAGGAUUAAGGUCCUCUGGAUUGUAAACUUCUUUAUCUGGGACGAAAAAGGCGAUUCUUCGUCACUUGACGGUACCAGAUGAAUAAGCACCGGCUAACUCCGUGCC
rnacentral:rRNA from 1 species